rnacentral:rRNA from 1 species
UUGGAGGGCAAGUCUGGUGCCAGCAGCCGCGGUAAUUCCAGCUCCAAUAGCGUAUAUUAAAGUUGUUGCAGUUAAAAAGCUCGUAGUUGAACUUCGGGGUUUACCCAUUGGUCAGGCUUAAUUGUCUGUACUGGUGAGAUGAAUCUCUACCUUCUGAGGAACUUUCAUGCCAUUUAUUUGGUGUGAUGGGAAAUCAGGACUGUUACUUUGAAAAAAUUAGAGUGUUUAAAGCAGGCUAACGUCUGAAUACAUUAGCAUGGAAUAAUGAAAUAGGACGGACUGAUUCUAUUUCGUUGGUUUCUAGGAUCACCGUAAUGAUUAAUAGGGAUAGUUGGGGGCAUUAGUAUUCAAUUGUCAGAGGUGAAAUUCUUGGAUUUAUUGAAGACUAACUACUGCGAAAGCAUCUGCCAAGGAUGUUUUCAUUAAUCAAGAACGAAAGCUAGGGGAUCGAAGACGAUCAGAUACCGUCGUAGUCUUAACCAUAAACUAUGCCGACUAGGGAUCGGACGAGGUUAAUUUUAUAAUGACGCGUUCGGCACCUUACGGGAAACCAAAGUGUUUGGGUUC